rnacentral:lncRNA from 1 species
GGGCCAAUGAUGACGAGGUUUCGGGAUUAUAAGUCACGGACGAUGACUACGUCACUAGAGGUCUGAGGUCCAUAGCAGAAGAUGCCUCAUGUGACCCUCUCAUGCAGGGGUUGCAUGUCAGGCAUGUGCAUACAGUAGAUAUUAGCCAUGCACUCUCACCAUUUCAUAGUAGAUCACAGAAUCAAGAUACAAAUCUCCAUGCACGGAAAGGAUUUAAGGCAUUGAUCAAUCCUGAACAUAAAUAUUUGGCCAUCAAUGAUAUUUACGCACACACUGAAAAAUCUAUUCAGAAUGACUUACACAAAGGUUUAUAUAACCUUUAUCAAAGGUAAUUUAUAUAGUAAGAUUCAUGGCUGAAGUCUUCAUGAUGGUCAAGGCCUUAAUUUUUAAAAUUAUCAAUUUUUUUCUUUUCUUUUUUUUUAACUUGAAUUUUUUUUUAAUGAAAACUAUCAUGACAAUUUGUCUCUUAAAUGAAAGGAGAAAUGUAAAACUAAAUGGACAAAUAUCAACCUUUUUAUUAUCUUUGCUGUUGUGCCCUCCCUGGAUGGGUGCUGGCACAUGAUGUCUUGCCUGCUGGUCCGUGGUUGCACUCUCACCAUGUGGAUGGAGCUCGGCAGCUGAAAAUGCAUUCUUCCACCAAGAUGAUUUACACAGCCUAGCUGGAUCAGGAGCCCCCUAAUAAGCUGCUUCAGAUUGUAAUAUAGACACAGUAAUGUAUGCCUGCAGGAUGAGUCCCACCUUCUUCAUUAGUCUUGAGGUUUGAGAUUCCCUGUUUGUGUCUGCAGGAUUCAGAUAGUAAUGGAUAUCCUGCAAGUCGGCUUCGUAGAGUCUCCCUUGAAAGUGGACCUCAUGAUCUAGCCUUUAUGUCCGUGGAUUGACACUGUGAUGGAUUCCCCCCAAGUUCAUUUAGAUAUUCUCUCUUAUUCAUAAAUGUCACGGUCAGCUCUGUUCUUAUAGAUACCAGAAUGGAUACCCCAAGCUGAUGUAUAUACACCCUUCCUCGGUUGUGAGAUUCCUGCUCUGGUGGUUGUAGUCAUAAGAUAUACAUCGUUGCGUACACCUUGGUUGUGGGCACGCACACUACUGUUGAAUUACCACCUUGUCCAAGUGGAUGGAUGCCCUCAAUGGGAUUGGCACUUUCUCCAUUGCUCCUGCACUCUGUUAUCAGCACUUCGGGUUCAUAAUGUACACACAGCAAUGGAUUUUCUGCAGCUGAUUUUCUAUAUUCUGUUUUCUUCGGGUAAGCAGAAACAGAUGCCUUCCUCACUGGUCACCAGGUUCAAGGUCCCUCAUAUGUGUCAGGUGCAUAGUCACCAACAAAGGCCAACUUCACAUCAAUGGGUGGAUCGUACCUCGGCCUAAGCUCCAGGAUUGAUUGUGCUGUUAGAGUCACAGCUACAACCUCCUAACUGAGAUGUCUCCAUCAAAUCCCUUCCUUCAGGGCUCAGGGAACCCAGUGGAAGAGGAGGUGGAGUGUGAGAGCCAAUUGGAAUGGAAGACAGUGAGGAAACAAGGCCUUCGAGACACAAGAGGACUGCUGAGCUCACAAAGACUGAGGCAGCACCCUCAGGACCUGCACAGGUCUAAGCUUGAUGCGAUCUGAGUACUGAGAGGGCAACUGGACACAAUUCUAUAUUGAUAACCCAGAAGCUUUCUCCAGUUGAUAAACUCUUUCAAAGGAAAAA